rnacentral:rRNA from 1 species
GAUUUGAUCCUGGCUCAGAACGAACGCUGGCGGCGUGUUUAAGACAUGCAAGUCGAACGGAUCAAAGUUGUAGCAAUACCGCUUUGGUCAGUGGCGCACGGGUGCGUAACACGUGAGUUACAUGCCCUGCAGUGGGGAAUAGCCCGCCGAAAGGCGGAUUAAUACCCCAUGGUCCCGCAAGGGUAAAGGUGGCGCAAGCUGCCGCUGCAGGAUUGGCUCGCGGCCUAUCAGCUAGUUGGCGAGGUAACGGCUCACCAAGGCGACGACGGGUACCUGGUCUGAGAGGAUGAUCAGGCACACUGGAACUGAGACACGGUCCAGACUCCUACGGGAGGCAGCAGUGAGGAAUUUUGCACAAUGGAGGAAACUCUGAUGCAGCGACGCCGCGUGCGGGAUGAAGGGGCUUUGCCUUGUAAACCGCUGUCGGGUGGGAAAAAAGUUCCUCGGGGACUGGGAUUGUACCACCAAAGGAGGACCGGCUAACUACGUGCCAGCAGCCGCAGU